rnacentral:rRNA from 1 species
GGCAUGACAGCGAUGUCAUGGGUAGGGGAGCGUUCUUAUAAGGAAGAAGCAUUACCGUAAGGAGAUGUGGACAUAUAAGAAGUGAGAAUGCCGGUAUGAGUAUCGAAAAGAAAGGUGAGAAUCCUUUCCACCGAAAGCCCGAGGGUUCCUGAGCAACGAUCGUCGACUCAGGGUAAGUCGGGACCUAAGCCGAGGCGGAAACGCAUAGGCGAUGGACAACAGGUUGAAAUUCCUGUACCGGAUGGAGUCAAUUGAGCGAAGGAGCGACGCAGGAGGGCACAUGAUCGCGCGGCUGGAAGAGCGCGUCCAAGUGCGUAUGCGUAGAGGGAGGCAAAUCCCCCUUUACAGAAGCAGAGACAUGAUGGGGAGUUAAAGGAGACUUUGACGAACUCAUGGAUCCCACACUGCCAAGAAAAACUUCUAGCGAGACGAAAUCCGCCCGUACCGUAAACCGACACAGGUAGGCGGGGAGAGAAUCCUAAGGUGCGCGGGAAAACCCUCGUUAAGGAACUCGGCAAAUUGCAUCCGUAACUUCGGGAGAAGGAUGACCCUGAGUAGGCGAAAGGGAGAAACCCCCGGAACAGAAAAGGGUGGCAGAAAAGAGGCCCAAGCAACUGUUUACCAAAAACACAGGUGCCUGCGAAAGCGAAAGCUGAAGUAUAGGUGCUGACGCCUGCCCGGUGCUGGAAGGUUAAGGAGAGAGGUCAGCGAAAGCGAAGCUUUGAACUGAAGCCCCAGUGAACGGCGGCCGUAACUAUAACGGUCCUAAGGUAGCGAAAUUCCUUGUCGGGUAAGUUCCGACCCGCAUGAAAGGCGUAAUGGUUUGGGCACUGUCUCAACGAGGGGCCCGGUGAAAUUGAAAUACCUGUGAAGAUGCAGGUUACCCGCGACUGGACAGAAAGACCCCAUGGAGCUUCACUGCAGCUUGAGAUUGAAUCCCGGUGACAUAUGCACAGGAUAGGUGGGAGGCUAAGAAGUAAUGCCUUUGGGUGUUACAGAGCCGAUGUUGGGAUACCACCCUUAUGUUGCUGAGAUUCUAACACGGAGACUAACAACCUCGUGGACCAUCUCAGGCAGGCGGUUUGACUGGGGCGGUCGCCUCCUAAAAUGUAACGGAGGCGCCCAAAGGUUCCCUCAGGCCGGACAGAAACCGGCCGAAGAGUGCAAAGGCAGAAGGGAGCUUGACUGCGAGACAGACAAGUCGAGCAGAGACGAAAGUCGGGCUUAGUGAUCCGGUGGUACUGAGUGGAAAGGCCAUCGCUCAACGGAUAAAAGCUACCCUGGGGAUAACAGGCUAAUCUCUCCCAAGAGUUCAUAUCGACGGGGAGGUUUGGCACCUCGAUGUCGGCUCAUCACAUCCUGGAGCUGGAGUAGGUUCCAAGGGUUGGGCUGUUCGCCCAUUAAAGUGGUACGCGAGCUGGGUUCAAAACGUCGUGAGACAGUUUGGUUCAUAUCCAUCGCGGGCGCAAGAAGUUUGAGGGAGGCUGCUCCUAGUACGAGAGGACCGGAGUGGACGGAUCAACGGUGUACCAGUUGUCACGCCAGUGGCACGGCUGGAAAGCCGCAUCCGGAAAGGAUAAACGCUGAAAGCAUCUAAGCGUGAAGCCCGUCCCGAGAUGAGACUUCUCAUCAGCAAUGAGUAAGACCCCUUAAAGACGAUGAGGUUGAUAGGCUGUGAGUGGAAGUGGCGCAAGUCAUGGAGCGACGCAGUACUAAUAGGUCGAGGUCUUAGU